ensembl:lncRNA
AUUUGACUGGUUUCUGUUCAGUUUAAAAAGUGUUAGCGUGUGACUCUCACAUGCUGUGUUUCAUGUGUCUGUGAGGAGAUUUGUCUUUGAGGUGGUUGUGUCUGAUGGCGUUUAACAGCAGUCAGACGCUCUCUGAUGUUUCUGCCUCGAACCGCUUCAUCAGCUUUAGUCUGGUGUGGGAUGUUCAGCAGUGGAGACACAAACAGACGUGCGUCUGACCUGCUGUUGCACAAUGGACAGCUGUGAACUUCAAUACACGCUCAACGUUCUGUCCCUGAAACUGCUGUGAAUACAGUUAUCAGGAUCCUGUGUUCUUCGAGGAGUGCAAGCAGGAGUAUCUCAGAGAGGAACACGAAUACGAAGAGAGGGAUUCCAGCCAAGAACAGACAGCAGAAGCUUCCCACCAGCGUGUGAUGAAGAACACCGCAGUGAGGAGGAGGAGGAUGGACCAUGAAACUCAUUUCUGGCUGUUUUUGGAGACGCUGUUGUCUCUGAUGGACGUUCUCUGUAUCUGUUGCAUUGCUGCGGUUUAUAUUCAUGAUUAGCUCUUACCCACCAAAAGCCUAAUAGAAAUUCAUAGAGAAUGUAUUUGAAUCACAUCAGAUGUGUAUCGUCCCAGCGACCCCCGGGAAUUACUGCCACAGAACCUGCUUUUGAUUGUUUGUUUUAAAACAACCUCAGAGUUAUUCAUGACGCUCAUGUUCGGAUGGAUUUUCAAUCAGUCUGUGCUUCAAAUUCAGGAAGUUGUUCAAUUAGAACCUCCAGGAAUGAUUGUUCAAUUUCUGUAAUUAAGUGUCUGUAAUUGUUUGUAGCACUGUAGCAACAUAAAAAAAAAGCAAAAUAUAAUAUAAAUAGCUAGUGAUAUUGUGUACUUGUAAUAAUAUAUACAGCACAGGUCAAAAGUUUGGAAACAUUACUAUUUUUAAUGUUUUUGAAAGAAGUCUCUUCUGCUCAUCAAGCCUGCAUUUAUUUGAUCAAAAAUACAGAAAAAACUGUAAUAUUGUGAAAUAUUAUUACAACUUAAAAUAAUAGUUGUCUAUUUGAAUAUACUUUAAAAAAUAAUUUAUUCCUGUGAUGCAAAGCUGAAUUUUCAGCAUCAUUACUCCAGCCUUCAGUGUCACAUGUAACAUCCAGUCUAUCACAUGAUCAUUUAGAAAUCAUUCUAAUAUUCUGAUUUAUUAUGAGUGUUGGAAACAGUUCUGCUGUCUAAUAUAUUUGAUGAAUAAAAGGUUAAAAAGAACUGCA